UACGUAGGGUGCAAGCGUUGUCCGGAAUUAUUGGGCGUAAAGAGCUCGUAGGCGGUUUGUCGCGUCUGCUGUGAAAACCCGAGGCUCAACCUCGGGCCUGCAGUGGGUACGGGCAGACUAGAGUGCGGUAGGGGAGAUUGGAAUUCCUGGUGUAGCGGUGGAAUGCGCAGAUAUCAGGAGGAACACCGAUGGCGAAGGCAGAUCUCUGGGCCGUAACUGACGCUGAGGAGCGAAAGCAUGGGGAGCAAACAGG
rnacentral:rRNA from 1 species